CCAAACUCUGCUGGAUCGGAGCGCUAAAGGAAGACUUCCGGACAUGAGGCCUGCUGUCCAAGAGGCUCAUGACUGGCCUUUCAGAAGUAUGAAACAGGCCUCUGUGGAGAGAUCCAGCCAGGGCCUCCCAACCACUGACCUUAACUCUCAGCCCUAAUAUCUUACAGUAGCUCGGCCAUCUUCAACCAGGAGGCCAUAGUCUCCGAUAGGUGAAAAUUGAUUGAUUGGGUUUCGCCAUUGUUUUUCGCACCAUACACAGAGUAGACUUCUCCAAGUUUUGUUCCAUAGCGCGCUAGUGACGAGUUAGGAUGCUCAGUCUCUGACAUGAGAAGUAACGCAUCUCUUUGAUCCUUUGUACAGCAAAAAAACUACUGCAGUCCCAGGAUCAGAGAGUGUGGUCUAGGAGCAGACAGGUGCUGAGCUGCAGCCUGGUCUGGGGUCAGUGACCAGACCUUUGUGAAAGUAAAGUGCAUGAGCAGAGGGAGGGAGACAUGCUGUAACAGCAGCUGGCCAUCGCUACUAGACACCAUGCUUCAGUGAUUAACAGCUUUUCUGAUAGGAAAGAGCUUCUAUUAUGCACUCUCACUCAAUGCAGAUCAUUUAUACUGAUACCCUAUUGUGUACAAGAGCACAACCCACUCAGACCUGCUUAAGGUAUACAGAGAUGUUUUAAUAUGGGAAUGCAACCUGUCAAACCCCAUAGUUUCAAUCAGCAAUGUGUAAGAGUGGUCCACAUUUAAUGCUUUGUCAUGUCUGUAUGUGGUUUGUGAGGGCACCACUAAGUGAUGGUCAUGAUCUAUAGGCAGGCGUGGCAGCAUUAUAUCUGAGCUCUUCUUUCCAUCGUGGCUGGGUUUCCCCACAGCCAACACAUGGAGUCUAGACAGGAGCCCUGAUCCAGCCAGCCUGCCAGUCCUUCACAUAAUAUAGCUGCUCCAAUCUAGGCUGUUUUCACUCUCAGUCCUGCAGCUAUUUUACUGAAGACGUCGAACACCCUUCCUGCCUUCCACACACACAACCUGUCUUGUUCAUGUGUGACAAUAAAACUUGAAACUGAACACAAAGAGAAGUUACACUCAGCUGGAAUCCACGCGGAAUCUUCCGGAACAUUUUAGCAUGGGCCGCCGGCGUGUAAUUUUCCAGGCAAAGGGAGCAGGGAAUACUUUUGGGGUCCAGGCGGGAAAUCCAAUACUAUUAUUAGCUUUAGCAGGAGAAAUUGCCCAGGUAUUCACCGUUCCAAACCAGAGAGGAAAUGUGCUGUUAGCUCCAGCAGUUUGGAGUCGUUUGGCUCUCAGAAAAGGGUGGAUGGCAGCAUGAAUACUGAGAAACAGGGGUUCUAGAAUAAUAUUUUGAUUACUCCAUCAGUGAGAAUAUUGUUCAUUGUGGUAAUUCACUCAUCCAAGACACUCAUGUUUUUAGAUUUAACACUAGGUUCCUCACAGUUUGCCGUUGCCAUGCCUCAUCUGAUUUAGUUUAUUCAAAAGUGUAGGACAAUGUAGUAUAACAAAGAUAACUGUUGAAUAACAAAGAGCUUGGCGGUCUAUAGGAUCCAUGUGGCAUGUGUGUCAUCAUGGGUUUUUGUAUGAACUAAAGAACCAACUAAAAUCACCCAUGCUCACAAAUGUCAUUCAGUCAUCUCUAUCGUCUGCAUUAGUCUAUUCCCGCCCCCCUAAGCGACAUAAUGGACCAUUCCAAAGUGACCCAUAUUUACCCAAUAACAGGAGGCUUUGAAAAGGCCCAGAUCGAGUUGCAGUUAAUGCUCCAGUGGGGCCCGGAGAGUGAAAGAUGUUACCGGCCGAAACGGCUUGGGUUUCAGAGGCCUGUGAACAAAAGGCAGCCAGUCCUCUGGGAGAAAAAGAACGAGGGGUAAGGGAGGGAAGGAAGGGGGAGAGAGGUGUAAGUCUGACUUUGUCAAAGCUGGUUCAGUGCACCGUGUAUACUGUUAAGUGUCUCAUUCACACAGUAUGUAUAGUAGUCAGUCUAUCGUGGUGUGUACCAAACUUCAUUGUAUGUUUGCAAAUGUUCUACCAAGAGUCCGUGAAAUAUUUGUCUGUCUAUUCAUUGUGUGUCUGUAGUCUUCCUCUGUCUGUGUAUUCAGUGUCAAGUACAGUCAGUGUUAUUUCCACUAAAGAGAAGGGUGAUGUGAUGGAUUGCUGAAGUGUGUGUGUGUGCGCAUUCGUUGGAAGCGUCUAUGCUGGUGUGUGUAUAAAGUAGAGCUUUGGGACGAGAUGCACUUACAGGAGCAGAGUUAAUGGAGCAGUGCUGAACUAACGGGUGGUGUUAGGGGGAGCAGAGUUAAUGGAGCAGUACUGAACUAACGGGUGGUGUUAGGGGGGGCAGAGUUAAUGGAGCAGUACUGAACUAACGGGUGGUGUUAGGGGGAGCAGAGUUAAUGGAGCAGUACUGAACUAACGGGUGGUGUUAGGGGGAGCAGAGUUAAUGGAGCAGUACUGAACUAACUGGUGGUGUUAGGGGGAGCAGAGUUAAUGGAGCAGUACUGAACUAACUGGUGGUGUUAGGGGGAGCAGAGUUAAUGGAGUAGUACUGAACUAACUGGUGGUGUUAGGGGGAGCAGAGUUAAUGGAGCAGUACUGAACUAACGGGUGGUGUUAAGGGGAGCAGAGUUAAUGGAGCAGUACUGAACUAACGGGUGGUGUUAGGGGGAGCAGAGUUAAUGGAGCAGUACAGAACUAACGGGUGGUGUUAGGGGGAGAAGACAGACUGUUGGUUUAAUGGCUGUAGACUAGAGGACUGGCUGGUGAUGAUACUCAAAGGUGAUUUCACUCUGCAUCCUCCUGCUCUCUCUCCAUCUCUUGCUCCUUCUCCCCCCAUUAUUUUCUCUCCUCUCUUCUCCUCCUUCCUUAGGGGCAGACUGGUAUAAAGUUACAGGGCUCUCAGCUUUCUUGGAAGGAAUGACCACAUGUGUAGCUUGGGGAUUAGAUUAGCAGGAAGAGCAGACUUAGCCGGACUGGAAAUAGACCACUUUUUCACUGUUAAAAAGGCCCAGUACAAUAUAAUCAAUAGACGGCACUCAUCUGCUGUGGGGAGAGGAGCAGGAAGCCAUCGGAGAAGGCCUCCCUCAAGUGCGCCGUGAAGGACUGGCUACAGGGAGCUCAUGCUUAAUGAAGUUAUUAUUAAUAAUCACUGCGAUGCCUGUUUUGGACUUGUGUUGUGUCUCUAGUGGGUGAAGUGGUCUUUAUGUACAAAACCCGAUCUGCCCUCUCUUUGUAUGUCUGGAACUUAACCACUGAUGACUAGACUUCAUUUUCUGUUAAUGUAAGUGCAUAGCACAUUAGUAAAUGCCAUAUUAAUGACCAUGUAUAUAUUAUGCUUAGCAGUUGGUUUUUAGAUAUUAGUCUAUUUUCCAUAUAUUGUAUAUCAUGGAAACUCACGAGGAAAAACAAUGUUAAAUACACACUGACACGCAUGCAAACUGCCAAAAAGAAAUGCUCCAUAAACACAUACUCCAACACACGUAUUCCACACACACACACACACACACCACCUCCUCCCUCCCAGUUUCACUCUGAGCCUCCCCACAGGUGUUGGGUUACUCUGUAAAGUAGACUGAACCGGAGCACAAAUCAGAGGGCUGUCUGUGCUCUCGCUUCCUAUUUCACUUUGAAGUUUCCCUGGCUCUCAGGGACAGGGGGCACAAAGCCUGACUCGUGUGGGGGCUUUAGCACUUUCUGCUGGGGCUGAGAGUGUGGGAAAGGAGGGGGGUGAGUGUGUGCUGUCUUUGUUGCUUUGGACCUCAGUCGCUUGAGGACUAUGUUAGCUUAGUAGCCAGAGACUGUAGAACCCACUGAGGGAGGCCAAGAGGAGGAGGGAGGAGAGUUGUUCCCCUAGUGCCCACUGAGCUAACUGACAGUCCAGGACCUGAGUGUGUGUGUGUGAGGAGGAAGGAUUAGAGAGGGUGGGGCUACAGGUCACCCCCCUCUAGUGGAAGAGCACUGGUCACCAUGGACUAGGGUCUAAGUCGACAGCUCGGCUGUUUUUCCAUCUACAGCUCAGAGUGAAAAUAAACAGUGACUUGCCAUCUUCUGAAAAGCUGAAAUAGGGUCCUUGGUGGGCUAGGGCUACAUCUGUACACACUUAAAAAUAAAAUAAACCUAGAAUGCUAUAUGGAGUGGCUACGGGUAGAGUUUCUAUAUCCCACUUUGUCCAGGCUAAAAACAUUAUCUGCCAUGUGCCCGCUCCGCUGCCUACGUAGCUGCUGUGCUGAGUGCUCCGUUGCCUACGUAGCUGCUGUGCUGAGUGCUCCGUUGCCUACGUAGCUGCUGUGCUGAGUGCUCCGUUGCCUACGUAGCUGCUGUGCUGAGUGCUCCGUUGCCUACGUAGCUGCUGUGCUGAGUGCUCCGCUGCCUACGUAGCUGCUGUGCUGAGUGCUCCGCUGCCUACGUAGCUGCUGUGCUGAGUGCUCCGCUGCCUACGUAGCUGCUGUGCUGAGUGCUCCGCUGCCUACGUAGCUGCUGUGCUGAGUGCUCCGCUGCCUACGUAGCUGCUGUGCUGAGUGUUCCGCU
ensembl:lncRNA